GCGCGGGGCAGUGGGACGAGCCCGUUCCUCGCAGCAGUAGCUGCAGCUGCUUCGGGGAGAGUUUCACUGAGGGCCGGGAGGCAGCGCUGGGCUGGGCUCUGCUCUGCUCCUCCCGGCAGCCGAGGCGCUUUCCCCGCCCCCGGGCCCCGGAGCCGCGCGCGGUCGGGCAGGGCAGAACGCAAGGCGUCUUCCUCUGGGCCAGGCAUAUGCCCUGUUCAGAAUCUGGCAGACAUCUGUCACAACAUGAUGUGAAAUUAAGCUUGUCAGUGGCUGGCUUUUUAAGGGCUGCUAACUGGUUUAAAGGGCAAAUCUGGCGUAAAGGAAACGUUAGACAUUAUCCCCUGCAGCUCCAAAGCCUCCUGACUCAAGAACUAUUGUUGCAGGGGGUGGGGGCAGAAAAAAAAUUCCACUGUUCUGAAACGUUGGCAGUAACUUCUGUAACGCUCUGA
ensembl:lncRNA